UACGUAGGUGGCAAGCGUUGUCCGGAUUUACUGGGCGUAAAGAGCGCGCAGGCGGUCGAAUAAGUCGAAUGUGAAAGCCCCCGGCUUAACUGGGGAGGGUCAUUCGAUACUGCUCGACUUGAAGGCAGGAGAGGGUAGUGGAAUUCCCGGUGUAGUGGUGAAAUGCGUAGAUAUCGGGAGGAACACCAGUGGCGAAGGCGGCUCACUGGCCCGGUACUGACGCUGAGGUGCGAAAGCGUGGGGAGCAAACAGG
rnacentral:rRNA from 1 species